rnacentral:lncRNA from 1 species
AAACUCACCAAUAUUAAUAAGAUGUUGGUCAGGGUAGUAAACGACUACAUAAAUUUGAUUCCGAAAAAUGCACUUUGCUGAAAAGAUAAAAGAAUUCAGAGACUAAACCUUUUAGUUCUACUAAAAAAGAAAAAAGAAAAAGAAAAACUUACCAACUUUGACAGAAAGAAAGCGAAUUGCAAAAUGUGUUAUCUACAGCCUAUAUUACAAAAAAUUC